GCACCCUAGCCCAGGCCCCCUCCCCCUCUCCCGAGUCUCACCUCCAGGAUGUCAGUGGUGGGGAUCUCCAUGGAUUCUGUUCCUCCGUAGUACAGAUACUGCAUCAUCAUCUGUGGUGGGAAGAGGCCCAUGUGAAUGCCACGUGAACCUGAGGCAUGAAAGUCCUUGCCAGCCCCACAGGGUACUGCUCCAGCUGCCGCCUCCAGGGGCCUGUCCCUCUGCAGGUCCCCAGCUCUGUCUCUCCCUCCCUCUCCUGCUCAGGCUGAGACUUGUGUUUUCCCGGGGAAGCCAACUCCAAGACCCUCUCUCCUGAGUCCCUGCCCGGAUAACAGGCUCUCUCCUUGGAAUGUUUUCCCUACAAUCCUCAUGAGAACACGCUAUGUGACCUUGAGCAAGUUACUCAACCUCUCCAUGCCUCUGACUCCUCUACCAAGAGGGGAUAAUAACAUACCUACCUCCCUGGAACUGUGCUGUGAGGCCUCAAUGGAAACCAAGCAAAGCACUUAGAACCCUGCCUGCCUAAGUGUUAGUAAUGGCUGCCCAGACCACCUGUCCAGCGGUUAGAGCUCAGGACCCAUGUGACAGGCUCUGAAGCUGCAGCCCCACAACGGAUGGCUACCUCUGCACAGGGAAAGACCUGGAUGCUCUAUUCAUUCAACAGAAUACAGAAGGCACUGGGAAUAGAGUGAACAAUGACAACCAAUGCACAGCUGCCCACAAGGUGGGCUCCUGGGGGAGGGUCAUCCCUCUGAGAAGAGGGCGGCACCAAGACCCACACACCUGAAAAAUGUGGUACUUCAUGUCGCUGAUCUCGAUGGUCUUGCUGCUGUCCCCAUCCUGUUCUGAUUUAUUGGUCAUUAGUGUCUUGAACCUGGAGCAAAGGAGACAAAGCAAGGUGGGUUUUGAACCUUUUACUUCACCACUGUGUGGCGAUGGCACCAUCUGUCACCUGACCGGCUACCACAAGACGGAACAUUUUAAAAAUUACUGCUGUGCUCCUAAAAUAAUUUUCAGCAAGUGCCAUUUUACACCAUCUUAGGAAGACAUCUGAGCUGAGCCCAAUUCUGUCCCCACCACCCACCCUACAAGCGACCUGACGCCUGUGGCCAGAAUGCUGACUCUUCAUUCCAGGAUAUUUAUGUUUUCUAAUAAUAAAAGCAAUAACUAGGCCAGAAAGAACACCACCUCAGAGCCC
rnacentral:lncRNA from 10 species